CGCUCACAACCCUACAGACAGCAGCAGGGAAACAUCAGUGAGAAAACUUCCUCUUUUACUGUCACCCUUCACUCUGAAGACAUUAUUGAAAACUCUGCAUGAUGAGCCACACAGAAGGUGAAGCUUUGGCCUCUCAACAACCUGCAGUGUCACAUGGAGGGUCAAGGGUCAGAUUAGAGAGAGUGGCCCUGCUCUUUCUCGCUGUUAUUUUGGGUACAUCUAUCAUGGU